rnacentral:lncRNA from 1 species
AUUCCAAAGCACCAGGGAACAGGACCACUCUUUUCAGUGGAGGGUAACAGGCCUGAUCUCUGUUUUCACCCCUUCCAGCCUCUUCCUCUUGGGAGGAGAAGUGACUUUUUCUCUGACGCCUUUGGGAGAACAUCACCCCUUCUACCUUCUCCUUUGAAAGAAUUCUGGACAGCUCUCCAGCCAGGCAGAAAUGCUUGUACAUGUCCAGUGAAGACCAGGACUGUAUCGGGAUGUUCCUCACUGUCCUCUGCACUCACCACAUUUGGAGGAAGGAGAGGCACGGAAAGGAGACAGAAACAUUUGCACAGCCUUCUGAACUCUGCAGGAGAAACGACCUCCAAGAGGCACUUCAGAUCACUAGAAGGAACCAAGAUCCCUGCUUUCUAGCCCCAGCUCUGAUCUUAUGCGUGACCCUGCUCUCCACCAGUUGUGUUUUCUGAAAUCUUUCUUCACUCAGCAGCAAAACUGCUUUUAUAAACCUAAUUCAUUAGUGCUUGCCAUGGUUCUUGCCUGCUUAAGGGCAGGUGAGAAAAUGUGUCCAGGUCCUUAAUCAGGUUUAGUUCUCACAACAGCCUUGAAUAGCCUCGUUACCCACUUUAUAGAUGGGAAAACAAAGGCCUGGAGAACAUGGGUCGCUGGUGCAAGGUCUCUCAGCAGAUAAGCAGCAGAGCUAAGUCAAGAAGAGAGAAAUACCUGGCUUUAAAAAAAUGAGAGGAAAUAGAAUGAGUGAUAAAGGGAUAAUGAACUAACAUUACUAUAUAUUUUAGAAAUGUAAAGUCCCACUUUGAGGCUUUUGUGUUCUUUCCCUGUUCUCUCUCAGGGUUGCUUUUUUGUCCACAUGAACUGAACUGAACUGAACUGCUAGUCAGAUAGUCCUGUUCCUGGUGGGAGAUUUAAUGUUCAAAAAGUGGUAACUAGGCAAGUUCUGGCAUGUUAAGCAGUGCAAAAUUGAUAAAUCUUAGAGUGUCCAGAAGAUAUUAAGUGGAGAGCAGGUGAAAAACACCAUCUUGUGUUUAAAUAAAUUUUUAUAUACUCACCA